rnacentral:rRNA from 1 species
UACGUAGGGGCGAGCGUUGUCCGGAAUGAUUGGGCGUAAAGGGCGCGCAGGCGGCCUGUCAAGUCAGUAGUGGAAGUCCAUUUUUCAAGGAUGGAAGUGCUAUAGAAACUGAUGGGCUUGAGUGCAGGAGAGGUUAUCGGAAUUCCCUGUGUAGCGGUGAAAUGCGUAAAGAUCGGGAGGAACACCAGUGGCGAAGGCGGGUAACUGGACUGCAACUGACGCUGAGGCGCGAAAGUGUGGGGAGCAAACAGGAUUAGAUACCCUGGUA